rnacentral:pre_miRNA from 1 species
AUAAUACUCCCUCCGUCCGGAAUUACUUGUCAUCAAAACGGAUGUGUCUAGAACUAAAAUACAUCUAGAUACAUCCAUUUCAAUGACAAGUAUUUUCGGAAGGAGGGAGUAGUAG